GACCCCAGGUCAGGCGGGACUACCGCUGACU
rnacentral:rRNA from 1 species